AAACCUAAUAGCUAGCCCUAUCAACAAAAACCAACAACCCACAAUAAACACCCCCUAACACACUAUAACCCGCACACUAAAGCAUUUUACCAUCCUAGUAUGGGCGACAGAAAAGAAAACUAGGCGCAAUAGAAAAAGUACCGCAAGGGAACGCUGAAAAAGAAAUGAAACAACUCAACAAAGUCAAAAAAAGCAGAGAUUUAACCUCGUACCUUUUGCAUCAUGUUUUAGCAAGACAAACCAAGCAAAGAGCCCUUCAGUUUGUUACCCCGAAACUAAGUGAGCUACUCCAAGACAGCCUAUUAAAGGGCCAACCCGUCUCUGUGGCAAAAGAGUGGGAAGAGCUUCGAGUAGAGGUGAUAAACCUACCGAACUUAGUUAUAGCUGGUUGCCUAAAAAUUGAAUACAAGUUCAGCCCCUCAGCUUCUCAACUCCGCCACACCUAAUCCCCCCCCAGACACCAUAGAAACUGAGAGAGUUAGUCAAAGGAGGAACAGCCCCUUUGACCCAAGACACAGCUUUUUAAGGAAGAUAAAGAUCAUACAACACCAAGGAAUUUGUUCUAGUGGGCCUAAAAGCAGCCACCUAAACAGAAAGCGUUAAAGCUCAAACACACUAACCUCCCCUAUAAUUCCGAUAACCCUAUCUUAAUCCCCUACCAUUAUUAGGCCGCUCCAUGCCAACAUGGAGGCGAUAAUGCUAAUAUGAGUAAUAAGAGAGCACGCCUCUCUCCCAGCAUACGUGUAACCUGGUACGGACCCCCCACCAGGCACUAACGGCCCCAAACAAAGAGGGUAAUGAACCAUAACAAAAACAACCAGAAGAACCCCCAAACAUAAACCGUUAAUCCCACACCGGCAUGCAAAUAAGGAAAGACUAAAAGAAAAAGAAGGAACUCGGCAAACACAAGCCUCGCCUGUUUACCAAAAACAUCGCCUCUUGCCAAAACCAAAAUAUAAGAGGUCCCGCCUGCCCUGUGACAACAAGUUUAACGGCCGCGGUAUCCUGACCGUGCGAAGGUAGCGCAAUCACUUGUCUUUUAAAUGAAGACCCGUAUGAAUGGCAUAACGAGGGCUUAACUGUCUCCUUUUUCCAGUCAAUGAAAUUGAUCUCUCCGUGCAGAAGCGGAGAUGAACCCACAAGACGAGAAGACCCUGUGGAGCUUUAGACACCAAAGCAGUUCUUGUUAAACACCCUAAAACAAAAGGCAUAACCAAAAGAGUCCUGCCCUAAUGUCUUCGGUUGGGGCGACCGUGAGGAACAAAAAACCCUCUACGUGGAGCGGGAAAACUCUCUCCCACAACCAAGAGUAACAACUCUAAGCACUAGAACUUCUAACCAAACGAUCCGGCAACGCCGAUUAACGAACCAAGUUACCCCAGGGAUAACAGCGCAAUCCCCUUCUAGAGUCCCUAUCGACAAGGGGGUUUACGACCUCGAUGUUGGAUCAGGACAUCCUAAUGGUGCAGCCGCUAUUAAGGGUUCGUUUGUUCAACGAUUAAAGUCCU
rnacentral:rRNA from 1 species